UACGUAGGGGGCAAGCGUUGUCCGGAAUCAUUGGGCGUAAAGAGCGUGUAGGCGGUCCGAUAAGUCCGCUCUGAAAGCCCGGGGCUCAACCCCGGGAGGCGGGCGGAUACUGUCGGGCUAGAGUCCGGAAGAGGCAAGUGGUAUUCCUGGUGUAGCGGUGAAAUGCGCAGAUAUCAGGAGGAACACCGAUGGCGAAGGCAGCUUGCUGGGACGGUACUGACGCUGAGACGCGAAAGCGUGGGGAGCAAACGGG
rnacentral:rRNA from 1 species